GAUGAACGCUGGCGGCGUGCCUAGUACAUGCAAGUCGAGCGAACAGACGAGGAGCUUGCUCCUCUGACGUUAGCGGCGGACGGGUGAGUAACACGUGGAUAACCUACCUAUAAGACUGGGAUAACUUCGGGAAACCGGAGCUAAUACCGGAUAAUAUAUUGAACCGCAUGGUUCAAUAGUGAAAGACGGUUUUGCUGUCACUUAUAGAUGGAUCCGCGCCGCAUUAGCUAGUUGGUAAGGUAACGGCUUACCAAGGCAACGAUGCGUAGCCGACCUGAGAGGGUGAUCGGCCACACUGGAACUGAGACACGGUCCAGACUCCUACGGGAGGCAGCAGUAGGGAAUCUUCCGCAAUGGGCGAAAGCCUGGCGGAGCAACGCCGCGUGAGUGAUGAAGGUCUUCGGAUCGUAAAACUCUGUUAUUAGGGAAGAACAAAUGUGUAAGUAACUAUGCACGUCUUGACGGUACCUAAUCAGAAAGCCACGGCUAACUACGUG
rnacentral:rRNA from 1 species